UACGAAGGGGGCUAGCGUUGUUCGGAAUUACUGGGCGUAAAGCGCGUGUAGGCGGUUGUUCAAGUCAGGUGUGAAAGCCUUGAGCUCAACUCAAGAAAUGCACUUGAUACUGGAUGACUAGAGGACCGGAGAGGAUAGUGGAAUUCCCAGUGUAGUGGUGAAAUACGUAGAGAUUGGGAAGAACACCAGUGGCGAAGGCGGCUAUCUGGACGGUUUCUGACGCUAAGGCGCGAAAGCGUGGGGAGCAAACAGG
rnacentral:rRNA from 1 species